GAGCGAAAGCGACGUUCAACCGCAAAAGAAGCAGAGGGGGCUUAGUGGUGGGGUGACUGCGUACCUUUUGUAUAAUGGGUCAGCGACUUAUAUUCUGUAGCAAGGUUAACCGAAUAGGGGAGCCGGAGGGAAACCGAGUCUUAACCGGGCGUUAAGUUGCAGGGUAUAGACCCGAAACCCGGUGAUCUAGCCAUGGGCAGGUUGAAGGUUGGGUAACACUAACUGGAGGACCGAACCGACUAAUGUUGAAAAAUUAGCGGAUGACCUGUGGCUGGGGGUGAAAGGCCAAUCAAACCGGGAGAUAGCUGGUUCUCCCCGAAAGCUAUUUAGGUAGCGCCUCGUGAAUUCAUCUCCGGGGGUAGAGCACUGUUUCGGCUAGGGGGCCAUCCCGGCUUACCAACCCGAUGCAAACUGCGAAUACCGGAGAAUGUUAUCACGGGAGACACACGGCGGGUGCUAACGUCCGUCGUGAAGAGGGAAACAACCCAGACCGCCAGCUAAGGUCCCAAAGUCAUGGUUAAGUGGGAAACGAUGUGGGAAGGCCCAGACAGCCAGGAUGUUGGCUUAGAAGCAGCCAUCAUUUAAAGAAAGCGUAAUAGCUCACUGGUCGAGUCGGCCUGCGCGGAAGAUGUAACGGGGCUAAACCAUGCACCGAAGCUGCGGCAGCGAACGUAUCACUUAAAGCGAUUCAGCGGGUUACGAUUGACGGAGCGAAGCGAC
rnacentral:rRNA from 1 species